AUGGAGUUUCACUCUUGUUGCCCAGGCUGGAGUGCAGCGGUGUGACCUCAGCUCACUGCAAACUCCGCCUCCUGAGUCCAAGCAAUUCUCUUGCCUCAGCCUCCCAAGUAGCUGGGAUUACAGGCGUGUGCUACCACGCCUGGCUAAUUUUGUACUUUUUUUUUUUUUUUUUUAACUAGAGAUGGGGUUUCACCACCUUGGUCAGGCUGGUCUCAAACUCCUGACCUCAGGUGAUCUGCCUGCUUCGGCCUCCCAAAGUGCUGCGAUUACAAGCGUGAGCCACUGUGCCCGGCCUGAUUGAACACCUAUUAUGUCUCAUUAUUAUUAAGUUCAAAAGAAAAGAAGCCAAUUCAGCAGACCCCAGAUUCUGACCUCCCAUCCUAUGCUGUUUCCUGGUGCAUCCUCCACUCCUAAUCCACACGGAGGCGUCACCCUAAAUUACCCGGCUGCACAUAUCACUACCCUGGUCAAAAGCCCCCAGCAGUUCCCCGGUGCCUAGGGUGUCAGCUCCCGACUCCUGGCAGUGACACUGAAGACCCUCUGUGAUCUGGUUCCAGCCUCUUUUCCAUGGGAUCUCUCUAUCUUGUGACACCAACUUUGACUACAGGUGUGCAGAUCUGGGUCCCGUGGCCAGAACACCCUGGGCUUUCUCACUGCCACGCCUGUGCUCCUGCUAUGCCCUUGAGUGGAACAGCUACCAUUUUUGUCCUUACCCAACAAAGUCCCGUCCGCAUUUUCUGGCCCAUUUCCCCCAGGUGGCCUCUCUGACCACCUGGAGCCAGGCUCUGAACCUCAGUCAGCCUC
rnacentral:lncRNA from 10 species